AGUGAACGCUGGCGGUAGGCCUAACACAUGCAAGUCGAACGGCAGCACAGUAAGAGCUUGCUCUUACGGGUGGCGAGUGGCGGACGGGUGAGGAAUACAUCGGAAUCUACUUUUUCGUGGGGGAUAACGUAGGGAAACUUACGCUAAUACCGCAUACGACCUACGGGUGAAAGCAGGGGAUCUUCGGACUUUGCGCGAUUGAAUGAGCCGAUGUCGGAUUAGCUAGUUGGCGGGGUAAAGGCCCACCAAGGCGACGAUCCGUAGCUGGUCUGAGAGGAUGAUCAGCCACACUGGAACUGAGACACGGUCCAGACUCCUACGGGAGGCAGCAGUGGGGAAUAUUGGACAAUGGGCGCAAGCCUGAUCCAGCCAUACCGCGUGGGUGAAGAAGGCCUUCGGGUUGUAAAGCCCUUUUGUUGGGAAAGAAAAGCAGCAGGUUAAUACCCCGCUGUUCUGACGGUACCCAAAGAGUAAGCACCGGCUAACUUCGUG
rnacentral:rRNA from 1 species